rnacentral:lncRNA from 1 species
CGCCGCGCGCCGCCGCCACCAAUGGCCGCGCAGUCCGUUUGUGGCCGUCGCUUUUGUUAGGCGGCGCGGGCGCGGGCGCGGGAGCAGGUACCGAACAGCCGCCCACGCUGCACCGCACAGCACCCUACGGCACCGCACCGUUCCGUUCCGCACCGCACCGUACCAUACUGUACCAUACUGACCCAAGCCGAGCCAAGCCCAGCCGCUCAGGUAGGAGAGCCGAGGCGCGGAGGGGAGCGCGGAGCAGGAGAGCCCUCGCGGAGCACAAGGGCCCGCGGCAGCUCGGCGAGAAGCGGGGUGUCGGGUAAAGCCUGGCUGAGGGCCCGGGAGUCGGAACGGGGCGAGGAGAGCUGGAAGGAAAGGGGCUGUUGCGAGGCCGAAACCAACAGAAACUGCACCGCUGAGGACGGCCUCGCUCGCACCCCGGGGAGGAAAGGAACGCAGUGUCUCAGCCAGGCUUCCCCAGCAAGAAACUUCACAAAACUAGAGACUUUUCCGCGUCCGAGCUCCCGGCUGUGGCGGAAGGUCCGGUCCUCGGGCCGGCCCCGCCCCGCCGCUCUUCGCGCCCUGCCGGAGGGCUCCAGCCCGGGUCGCGUUUUUAGGGCCGUUGUUGCUUCCUAAAGAGCAGACCGCUGUCGUGGUGGACACGUGGACAGUGCGCAUUCUGGAUGUGCUCUCAAAAAAUCAUAGCCCGGGAUUGCAGAAUAAGAGAUUUAUGGAUGAACAGCUUGAAACAAACCACGGGAACAAAGUCACUUUCUAAGUGACAAAUCGGUUUGCAAAAUUAAACUUAUAUUCAGAGAUAAAAACUUAAAUGGAGUUUGUAGCAUCCUCUCUGGGAAACUGAGUAUUAUCCAAAAUGGUGUUCCAAUGCAAAUCACUAUGAAUCUGGGUAAAGGCUUUCUUUUAUGUUCUGUGCUGUUAGGGUUGUGGGAUUCAUAAGACUUUUUCGAUUUCUCUCUGAAAACUGCUGCAAAUAAAACUUUCUUCACGUUCCUGCCCCACCCAGUUACAUGUGUGCCUGUACAGUUCUCGG